CAUUUCAACAAAAUUUGAUCAUCUUCUUCUCCAAAACCAGACGUGAGCUUCUUCCAAGAUCGUGUUUGAUUUCUGAUCGAAACAAAUCAAAUAGAAAAGGGUAUACUAUGGAACAAUAGUGAGGCUCAUAUAUUUUGAAAGACAUAAAGUGUCAAGGU